CCUGCCUACGGGGGGCAGCAGUAGGGAAUUUUCGUCAAUGGGCGCAAGCCUGAACGAGCAAUGCCGCGUGAGGGAAGACGGUCCUAUGGAUUGUAAACCUCUUUAGGCGGGGAGCAAUGCCGGGCACGCGUGCCCGGAGGGAGAGUACCCGCAGAAUAAGCAUCGGCUAACUCCGUGCCAGCAGCCGCGGUAAUACGGAGGAUGCGAGCGUUAUCCGGAUUUAUUGGGUUUAAAGGGUGCGUAGGCGGAUUUUUAAGUCAGCGGUAAAAUGUCCGGGCUCAACCCGGGCCGGCCGUUGAAACUGG
rnacentral:rRNA from 1 species